rnacentral:lncRNA from 2 species
CCACCGUUCGCGAAGGCUCUCAGCUCACGCGAUCAGUGAAUCAGUCUAAUUUGACCAACUUCCGAGGUCAGUGCACGUCCGUGUUUAUGUGAGCCUUCAUAAGCUGGUAUUUGACGGAUUAGCAGUGAUAUCGAGGAAGUGAAUGCUCCAGCUGCGGUCGAAUAAUAAUUAAAACUUAUGCGUACUGCGUACCUAGACAACGCUUUCUAUAGCGUCUGUGUUCUUUUUUGAAAUAAUGUGCCAAUACUUUUUAUUAUUUUACUUUGUCAGGAUUGUGAUUUUUUACCUAGUCCCGAGAUGAAAGUUAACAAUUUUCCUCGUUAGGGUAUAAUCAUUGUAUGAUUAUUUUGUUUCAUGUUUUAUUUGUUAUCAAACCUCUUGUAUCGGAUAUAAGUUUUUGUUUGUUCAUGUUCACUUAAUUUUACUAUUUGCUAUACUUCUAUACUCUUGUGAGUACAUCUGUACAAUUGAGGUAUGCGUAUAUGUAAAAGACUGUAUGUUUAUUUAUACAUCCCAGUCAACAUUCACACAGUUACAUCGUUGGCAUAAUAAAAUGUCCGCAUCAACGAUACAGACAAACUGGUAUAUAAAAAACUACUGUUAUGUUUCGGAUACAUUGUUAAAGCGGAUAUUUCGAUACGUGUGCAAUGUAACUAUUGUCAUUGUUGCCUUGGAUGAAAGUACCUUAUAAUAAAUAUAUAUCAUGUUUCGCAAA